UCUAGGAUCAGAUUCACCAUAGGGAUCACCUGAGUGGGCUAUGUGUAAGUCUGUGAAGGUGUAGCGUAACUUGCUAUGCGAUCCUGGGAGCUGGAGAUGUCAGGAUCAUCUGAUGAGAGAAGCUAUAGGGACCAAGUGGAGCUUUGAGGAGGGUUAGGGGUAGGAAGUGGGGUCUGGUUGGUAGAAAUAGGUCACAUGGGCCUCUGAAUGUCUUAUCAGUACCUGAUUCCUCUAUACCUAGGAUGCUAUAAUUUGAUAUGGAUUAGGCUCAUUACUAAUAAUAAAGCUCAUUGGCCAAUGGCUGGGCAAGAAGAGAUUGAGCAUGAGAGCCAUACUAGAAUAAUUCUGGGAAGAGGAAAGGUGUCAGGGAGAUGCCAGCCAGCCUCCAAGGAAGCAAGACAUAUAAAAAAUGAGUUGCCUGCUGUCAUUUUCAUGGAAGGAGAAAACACAACCACAGACUUGGCACUGGAGAGCCCCUUGAGGGAGUGGACAGUCUGGAGUUUUGUUUAAGAGUCAUCAGAAGCCAGGCUGGAGCACUCAGGUAUUUGGCCAUAGCAAUGGAUGUUGACAACACCAACCUGCAGCUGGGAUUCCGAGGAAGGACUGGAGCUAGCGAUGGAUCUGUAACUGGAAGAAAUGAAUAGGGGUCUCUAACCUGAAACAGUCUCAAGAAAUCAUUCAUUUGGACAGAAAUAAUAGCUAGGAAUCAGAAGAUCCUCAGGUA